GGCACUGUUGCCGUUAAACGGGAGCAGAUAACUCAGAUCAAAUCUCCGUGGUAAAUCGUCUUCUCAGCAUCUGGUGCUGUUCCUUUAAUGAAGCCUUUUUCUCACCAUGAUGUGAAUCCAUUAGACACCAAGAAACUGGAGUAUGUAAAAGAUUCUGUUUAUCUGGCCCUUCUCAAAGAGCAUAGUUGGAUCAUAAUUUAUUUACUGUUCCCUUUCUGAUUCAUGUGUGGAAAUCUAACCUCCACUGUGAUGGUAUUUGGAGGGGGGGGGCUUGGGGAGAUGAUUCGGUCAUGAGGAUGGAGCCCUCAUCAUUGGGACUGAUGCCCUUACAAAAGAGAUCCUAGAGAGCUGCCUUGCAUGUUCUGCCAUGUGAGACCACAAUGAGAACGCAACUUUGUGAACUAGCAUUCAGGUCCUUACCAGACACCGAAUCCACCAAUGCCUUCAUCCUGGACUUCCCAGCCUCCAGAACUAUGAGGAAUAAAUGUUUGUUGUUUAAGCCA